CUCUCGUAAUCGUCUCGGCCUCGUCCUCCUCUCUCUUCCGAAGCAAAGCCGCCAUGGCUCUCUUAUCUCCGACCCAAUUCCCUCGUGCCCAAACCCAUUCCUCCACCGCCGCCGCCCCAUGGCGUCGCAGACCCUCCUCCUCCUCAUCCUCUGCCUCCUCCUUCGUCUUCGCUGCCAGCCUUCCCGAUUGCGACCUCUCCUCCGAAAGAUCCCCCUCCCAUGGUCUUCCCGUUCCGUUGAAACCCAAGAUUACCCUAUCCGUCUUCAACUCCGCUGCCGCGUCCGUCGCCGCAGCUGCGGGCGGCGGAUUCCUCUUCCAUCUCUCUUCCAUUCCUCCCCCCCGCUAACGGCGGCGGCGGAGGAGGAGGAGGAGGUGGUGGUGGUUGGGGCUGGGGCGGCGACGGGGGUGGCUUCUGGUCCAAUGUGUUCUCCCCGUUGCCGGCGUCCGCGAACGAGAAAGAGCAGGCCACAUCCGCCGGCAGCGUGGAGUGGGACUCCCACGGACUCCCUGCGAAUAUAGUCGUCCAGCUUAGCGGGCUUAAGCGGUACAAGAUCUCGGAGAUCCUCUUAUUCGACCGAGCACCGUCGCCGGCACGGAGGACUCCUUCUUCGAGAUGGUCUCCCUCCGCCCCGGCGGCGUCUACACCAAAGCCCAGCUUCAGAAGGAGCUAGAGACCCUGGCCUCCUGCGGCAUGUUCGAGCGGGUGGACCUCGAGGGCAAGACAAAGCCCGACGGCACCCUCGCCGUCAAUGUAUCCUUUCUGGAGAGCACGUGGCAGGGCGCCGACUCAUUCCGGUGCAUCGACGUGGGCCUGAUGCCGCAGUCGAAGCAGAUGGAGAUGGACCCGGACAUGACGGAUAAGGAGAAGCUGGAAUACUUCCGGAACCAGGAGAGGGACUACAGGAAUAGGAUCGAACGGUCGAGGCCGUGCUUGCUGCCCGUGACGGUGCAGCGGGAAGUGAUGCAGAUGCUUCGGGAGCAAGGGAGGGUGACCGCGAGGUUGCUGCAGAGGAUCCGGGACCGGGUCCAGAAGUGGUACCACGACGAGGGGUAUGCUUGCGCCCAGGUGGUCAACUUCGGGAAUCUGAACACGAGGGAGGUGGUCUGCGAGGUCGUGGAAGGGGACAUCACGUAGCUGGCCAUCCAAUUCCAAGAUAAGCUUGGGAAUGUCUGCGAGGGGAAUACCAAACUUGGGGUCAUUCGCCGGGAGCUGCCAAAGCAGCUUCGAGCAGGACAUGUCUUCAAUAUGGAAGCAGGGAAACAAGCUUUGAGGAAUAUCAAUUCACUUUCUUUGUUCUCUAACAUAGAAGUAAACCCACGACCUGAUGAAAAGAAUGAAGGAGGAAUCAUUGUUGAGAUCAAGCUUAAAGAAUUGGAACAGAAAUCAGCUGAAGUAAGCUCAGAAUGGAAUAUCGUGCCUGGACAUAACGGACGGCCGACACUGGCAUCAAUUCAACCUGGUGGAACUGUUUCAUUUGAACACAGGAACAUCAAUGGAUUGAACAGAUCGAUAGUUGGUUCUGUGACAUCUAGCAAUCUGCUAAAUCCUCAGGAUGAUUUGUCUUUUAAGCUUGAAUAUGUGCAUCCGUAUGUGGAUGGUGUGACCAACCCUCGCAACCGGACCUUUCGUGCUAGCUGCUUUAACAGCUGGAAGUUAAGUCCUGUUUUCACCGGCGGGCCAGGUGUUGAUGAAGUUCCACCAGUGUGGAUUGACAGGGUGGGCUUAAAAGCAAAUAUAACGGAGAACUUCACUAGACAAAGCAAAUUCACUUAUGGACUUGUGAUGGAGGAGAUUACAACACGUGGCAAAUAUAACUCGCGAUAACACAAAAUUUAUAAAUGGUGCAAUUGUUGGUCAAAGAGAUGUUUUUCAGUUAGACCAAGGCCUUGGAAUUGGGAGCAAUUUUCCUUUCUUCAAUCGACACCAACUCACAUUAACCCGCUUCGUUCCGUUGAAGCAAGUCGAGGAAGGCGUCGGCAAGUCACCACCACCUGUUCUUGUUCUGCAUGGACAUUAUGGUGGCUGUGUGGCAGACCUCCCAAGUUACGAUGCUUUCACUCUUGGAGGACCCUACUCCGUAAGAGGAUACAACAUGGGCGAGUUGGGUGCCUGCAGAAACAUCCUCGAGCUCGCUGCCGAACUGAGGAUCCAGGUGAAGAACACCUGUAUAUACGCAUUUGCAGAGCACGGGAAUGAUCUUGGUAGUUCUAAGGAUGUCAAAGGAAACCCAACCGAGUUCUUCCAUCGGGCAGGGCAUGGCUCGUCGUAUGGCGCCGGUGUGAAGCUUGGGAUGGUGAGAGCAGAGUAUGCAGCCGAUCAUAACUCAGGGACAGGUGCAGUAUUUUUCAGGUUCGGAGAAAGGGUUUGAGUCACAUUACUGACUGUGACAGUUUUGAGUCACAUGAGAGGAGAUUAGCGGACAUUUUGUCAUGAUUUUCUAAGAAAUGAAACUUCUUUUCAUAUGUAUUUGCAUCUGUUUCGACAAGAAGUUGAUUGGCUUUGCUCGUUC